AUUGAACGCUGGCGGCAGGCCUAACACAUGCAAGUCGAGCGGAUGAAGGGAGCUUGCUCCUGGAUUCAGCGGCGGACGGGUGAGUAAUGCCUAGGAAUCUGCCUGGUAGUGGGGGAUAACGUCCGGAAACGGGCGCUAAUACCGCAUACGUCCUGAGGGAGAAAGUGGGGGAUCUUCGGACCUCACGCUAUCAGAUGAGCCUAGGUCGGAUUAGCUAGUUGGUGGGGUAAAGGCCUACCAAGGCGACGAUCCGUAACUGGUCUGAGAGGAUGAUCAGUCACACUGGAACUGAGACACGGUCCAGACUCCUACGGGAGGCAGCAGUGGGGAAUAUUGGACAAUGGGCGAAAGCCUGGUCCAGCCAUGCCGCGUGUGUGAAGAAGGUCUUCGGAUUGUAAAGCACUUUAAGUCGGGAGGAAGGGCAGUAAGUUAAUACCUUGCUGUUUUGACGUUACCAACAGAAUAAGCACCGGCUAACUUCGUG
rnacentral:rRNA from 1 species